rnacentral:misc_RNA from 1 species
UUCCCAGCAUCUGCUUCAUCUUCAUCCUCAUCUUCGCCCAACUUAACAGGAGGAGCCACAAUUUUUGACUUCUGUUUCAAGCUGAAUGCAAGUUUUCCACCUGAAGGAAGCUGAGGGGUCUUGCUUGCACUAUUACCCUUAAAUUGCAUAGUUAUUUUACCAGUAGAAGGUUUAGGAGUUGUUGUCCCAGAAACAAUUGUUUUGGGUUUAGAUUCCUUUUCUGCGGCACCUAUAUCCUUCUCCUGGUCCUUUCCCUUGUCUUGCUGAAGUUGUUUGAACCUCUCCAUGAAAGAACCAUCAUUAACAAAAAGACUAGAAGGUGCUUUUUUAUCCAUUUCCAAAGGGCCAACUAUACUCAGGCUGUCUACAGGAGGCCACUGAAACGCGUUCGAUGAAGUGAAAAAUAUGACCUAGACCAGUAAUUCGUGGGUUUUUAAUUGUCGAUCGCAAGAUUAUUACUCGGGAUAGGUAUUGAAAGAAGAUAUUGAGCUAAUCUCUGACCUCUUAUCUUCUAACCGUCUCCGUCGAGGUAGAAGAGAUGGAGAGAGAGAGAGAGCGAGAGAGG